AGUGUCCAGGGAUGGGAAUCGAACCCACAAUGUUCCGCUUACCGGGCAGAUGCCAUGUCCACUAGAGUACUGUAAC